rnacentral:rRNA from 1 species
UCUGGUGAUUAUUACGUAGAGGUCACACCCGUUCCCAUUCCGAACACGGCAGUUAAGCUCUACAGUGCUUACGAUACUUGGCGGGCAGCUGCCUGGGAAAAUAGGUCAUCGCCGGAA